rnacentral:rRNA from 1 species
GAUGAACGCUGGCGGCGUGCCUAAUACAUGCAAGUCGAGCGAACGGACGAGAAGCUUGCUUCUCUGAUGUUAGCGGCGGACGGGUGAGUAACACGUGGAUAACCUACCUAUAAGACUGGGAUAACUUCGGGAAACCGGAGCUAAUACCGGAUAAUAUUUUGAACCGCAUGGCUCAAAAGUGAAAGACGGUCUUGCUGUCACUUAUAGAUGGAUCCGCGCUGCAUUAGCUAGUUGGUAAGGUAACGGCUUACCAAGGCAACGAUGCAUAGCCGACCUGAGAGGGUGAUCGGCCACACUGGAACUGAGACACGGUCCAGACUCCUACGGGAGGCAGCAGUAGGGAAUCUUCCGCAAUGGGCGAAAGCCUGACGGAGCAACGCCGCGUGAGUGAUGAAGGUCUUCGGAUCGUAAAACUCUGCUAUUAGGGAAGAACAUAUGUGUAAGUAACUGUGCACAUCUUGACGGUACCUAAUCAGAAAGCCACGGCUAACUACGUGCCAGCAGCCGCGGUAAUACGUAGGUGGCAAGCGUUAUCCGGAAUUAUUGGGCGUAAAGCGCGCGUAGGCGGUUUUUUAAGUCUGACGUGAAAGCCCACGGCUCAACCGUGGAGGGUCAUUGGAAACUGGAAAACUUGAGUGCAGAAGAGGAAAGUGGAAUUCCAUGUGUAGCGGUGAAAUGCGCAGAGAUAUGGAGGAACACCAGUGGCGAAGGCGACUUUCUGGUCUGUAACUGACGCUGAUGUGCGAAAGCGUGGGGAUCGAACAGGAUUAGAUACCCUGGUAGUCCACGCCGUAAACGAUGAGUGCUAAGUGUUAGGGGGUUUCCGCCCCUUAGUGCUGCAGCUAACGCAUUAAGCACUCCGCCUGGGGAGUACGACCGCAAGGUUGAAACUCAAAGGAGUUGACGGGGACCCGCACAAGCGGUGGAGCAUGUGGUUUAAUUCGAAGCAACGCGAAGAACCUUACCAAAUCUUGACAUCCUUUGACAACUCUAGAGAUAGAGCCUUCCCCUUCGGGGGACAAAGUGACAGGUGGUGCAUGGUUGUCGUCAGCUCGUGUCGUGAGAUGUUGGGUUAAGUCCCGCAACGAGCGCAACCCUUAAGCUUAGUUGCCAUCAUUAAGUUGGGCACUCUAAGUUGACUGCCGGUGACAAACCGGAGGAAGGUGGGGAUGACGUCAAAUCAUCAUGCCCCUUAUGAUUUGGGCUACACACGUGCUACAAUGGACAAUACAAAGGGCAGCGAAACCGCGAGGUCAAGCAAAUCCCAUAAAGUUGUUCUCAGUUCGGAUUGUAGUCUGCAACUCGACUACAUGAAGCUGGAAUCGCUAGUAAUCGUAGAUCAGCAUGCUACGGUGAAUACGUUCCCGGGUCU